CAAGUCGAGCGAGAAGGGCGUCGGCCCGAGUAGAGCGGCGCACGGUGAGUAACACGUGAAUAAUCUGCCUCAGGCCGGGAUAACAGACCGAAAGGACUGCUAAUACCCGAUAAGCUUCCGCACCAACCGGGUGAGUGGAGAAAAGUGUGGGAUCGCAAGACCACAUACCAGAAGAUGAGUUCGCGUUCCAUUAGAUAGUUGGCGGGGUAAUGGCCCACCAAGUCGACGAUGGAUAGCUAGGUCUGAGAGGAUGAUCAGCCACACUGGGACUGAGACACGGCCCAGACUCCUACGGGAGGCAGCAGUGGGGAAUCUUGCGCAAUGGACGAAAGUCUGACGCAGCCAUGCCGCGUGAGUGAAUGAAGGCCUUCGGGUUGUAAAGCUCUGUCUAAGGGAAAAAACGUCACCAUGGCGAACAGAAAUGGUGAGUGAUGGUACCCUUAAAGAAAGCACCGGCUAACUCCGUGCCAGCAGCUGC
rnacentral:rRNA from 1 species